UUCAAAACCCACUGUGAACCUUACCUCUUGCCGCGUUGUCUCGGCGGGAGGCGGUGGGCGUCGCGCGCCCCUAGCGGGCCGUGCCGCUCCCGUCCCCGCCGGCGGCGCCAAACUCUAAAUUUACAGCGGACUGUACGUUCUGAUUUACAAAAAAAAACAAGUUAAAACUUUCAACAACGGAUCUCUUGGUUCUGGCAUCGAUGAAGAACGCA
rnacentral:misc_RNA from 1 species